rnacentral:rRNA from 1 species
GAUGAACGCUAGCUACAGGCUUAACACAUGCAAGUCGAGGGGAGACGACAUCGAAAGCUUGCUUUUGAUGGGCGUCGACCGGCGCACGGGUGAGUAACGCGUAUCCAACCUGCCCAUCACUUGGGAAUAACCUUGCGAAAGUAAGACUAAUACCCAAUGACAUCCCACGAAGACAUCUGAAUGGGAUUAAAGAUUUAUCGGUGAUGGAUGGGGAUGCGUCUGAUUAGCUUGUUGGCGGGGUAACGGCCCACCAAGGCAACGAUCAGUAGGGGUUCUGAGAGGAAGGUCCCCCACAUUGGAACUGAGACACGGUCCAAACUCCUACGGGAGGCAGCAGUGAGGAAUAUUGGUCAAUGGGCGAGAGCCUGAACCAGCCAAGUAGCGUGCAGGAUGACGGCCCUAUGGGUUGUAAACUGCUUUUAUAAGGGAAUAAAGUGGGUCUCGUGAGACUUUUUGCAUGUACCUUAUGAAUAAGGACCGGCUAAUUCCGUG